CAAAUCACCGACAGGAUCCCAACUUUGGCAUCUUGUUUUUCCAUAGAUCAUUAGGUUGAUGUGCGGUGUCCAGACAGUCUGCACAGUGUGACGGGAGGAACCAGGUCCUGGGUGUGAGGACUCCGACUCAGGCUCGCUCUGCCCUGAGCAUGUUAGCCCUCCUCACCCGGCUUCUGUUCUGUCACUCAGAACAGCUCUGGGCUGGUGAUCAAAGCCCUCUUGCAUCACUUGUCAGCUAGUAAAGGAACAAGUCAGGCAAGAUGCUUAAGGAGGCUGGAUUUAAUUUCUUCAUAUGUAAAACAGAUUGGUAAUACCUCUGUCACAGGGCUGCAAAAAUUCAAAAAUCUGCAAAAUCUGGGACUGUGUUUUGUCCUUUGGAGCUGUGGCAGCAGUUUUGUGACCAUGAGGCAAAAAUCACAAGGCUGAGGAUAUCAUAGUAUAAAUCUAGAACAAGCCUGUGUACCGUCCAGAUAGCAGAAGGGCACAGGCCAAGACUGGCCUGAAUUCUGGAAGCAGAGGCGUUCCAGGGCCACUUUUGAUCACAAUGCUCCCAACCUGGGCCUUACCAGUGUCUCCACUCGGCUGUGGUCUGAGUAAUCGUCCUCACCGAAGUUCAGGCCUGCACGACAGCUGGAAGACCGGCCGAGGGACGGGGCUCUUUCCCAGAGGUGGGAAGUAGCUCCCAGUUGUGCCGCUCCCGCAGGUGUGACCUGACCCUAAAGCAGCACUGUCUGCAGCCCCAGGAUGAGGCCAGCCCAUCUGUCCGCUCUGGGGUGAGGCUGGGGCCCCUUUGCUCCUCCUCUGUGUCACCCGGGUGAACCUGGCGCCCCGGCUGCUCCUCAAGGUUGGACGCUGCUCACCCCCUCUGGGCCGCAGACUCUGCUGCCAGAGCCUCUGGCUUGGGGCUCUGCUCUCCUCCCAGCAGAUGCUCCUGGCUCACAGCUGCCCCGCUCCAGUCCCGUUCCCCCGCACCCCUCUAACCCCACGCACCCCCUUCGCAGACCCAGCAGGACCCAGGUCCACCAGUUGAGCCAAGGUCGCAAGACUGCCCGGGCCUCCCGCCACCUUCCCGUGAUUCCGUUUCUUCUUAGCUGCCAGACGAAAGGUCGCUUCACCUAGGCGGACUCCGGUUCCAGAAGCAGUAGCAGCCGCAGGAGAUGCGAACUGCACAGGGCUUUUCUUUGCUCACUGGGUGUGACACCAAGGAAA